AUGGGACUAAAGAAGAAAAUGGGAUUUCAGAACCUUCAAUAAGCAAUGAAAAUGAUGAGUCUUCUGAGCUUUCUUCUACUAUAGAAAAAGAUGAAGAUGAAGGGAAAGGUAAUUAGUUUUUAGGGUUUCUUCAUUGAUCCUCUUUAACUUGCCACUUGUUUUGUUUGUGGUUAAUAAUUGGUUUUGUUGAAAUUAUUUUUAACUAUAUUUCUAACAGGAAAAAGAGUUGGUCAAAAAAUUUUUUUGGCUAAUCAGGUUUUUUAAAAGCAACAUGUUGGAUGUGAUUUAGCAUGAGGUGUAUGACUGCAUAGCCGAGAAAAAGUCAAUGUCUUUGACAGAUAUAAUGGAAGAAAUAAAAUUUGAUACUGUGUGAUGGUUGUCACUUUUUUUAAUGGUUCUUAUUCUCAAUGUUGUAGCGUUUUCUCUAUGGGUAUCUUAAUUCGUUUUACUGAGAGAUUCAGGAUUUUUGUGUGAUAUCCAGUGUGGCAAUUCCCGCUAUAAAAGGGCUGAUUUAGUGAUUUUGCCUCAAAAUUUGGCCACACUUUGCUAACUUAUGCAACUGUAUGCAUCUGAAAACUGUUUUGUUGCAGAAGUUUCAAAGAAGAAAAAGAA
rnacentral:misc_RNA from 1 species